rnacentral:rRNA from 1 species
GACGAACCGUGCGAACGUUAUUCGGAAUCACUGGGCUUAAAGGGCGCGUAGGCGGGUUCCCAAGUCUGCGGUGAAAGCCUCCAGCUCAACUGGAGAAGUGCCGUGGAUACUGGGAAUCUCGAGGAGGGUAGGGGCAUCUGGAACGUUGGGUGGAGCGGUGAAAUGCGUUGAUAUCCAACGGAACUCCGGUGGCGAAGGCGAGGUGCUGGACCCUUUCUGACGCUGAGGCGCGAAAGCCAGGGGAGCGAACGGG